ACUCAAAUGAAUAGACGGGGACCCGCACAAGCGGUGGAGCAUGUGGUUUAAUUCGACGCAACGCGAAGAACCUUACCUGCUCUUGACAUCCUCUUGACCGGUCCGUAAUGGGACCUUCCCUUCGGGGCAAGAGUGACAGGUGGUGCAUGGUUGUCGUCAGCUCGUGUCGUGAGAUGUUGGGUUAAGUCCCGCAACGAGCGCAACCCCUAUCUUUAGUAGCCAGCAGUUCGGCUGGGCACUCUAGAGAGACUGCCAGGGAUAACCUGGAGGAAGGUGGGGAUGACGUCAAAUCAUCAUGCCCCUUAUGAGCAGGGCUACACACGUGCUACAAUGGCGUAAACAAAGAGAAGCAAAGUCGCGAGGCCGAGCAAAUCUCAAAAAUAACGUCUCAGUUCGGAUUGUAGUCUGCAACUCGACUACAUGAAGCUGGAAUCGCUAGUAAUCGCAAAUCAGAAUGUUGCGGUGAAUACGUUCCCGGGUCUUGUACACACCGCCCGU
rnacentral:rRNA from 1 species